rnacentral:lncRNA from 1 species
CUUAAAUCCUUUUCCUCGAUUUUGCUAUUCUAUUUAACAUUACUAGCUAGUUAGGAUUUUCAGUGCUUAAACUAUAAUUUUAUCCAAUUCAUCAAUAAUUUGUCCACAAGAUUGGCUAGUUUUCAUGACUUCCUUUUACUGGAAUGUGUACAAAUUAUGGAUCAAACUAAAAGGGUAAACUACAAAAAAUAGCAUAAAAUUCUCAUUUGACAGCUUGUUGCUUUGUCAGCCGGUUGUGUAUCAUAGCAUGUGUUUUUGUGUACCCUAUUUUUAUUAAUAUUGAUUGAUGGUGAUUGAAAGUGAUUGAACACAAUAAUGGUUUGGGUGCCAUGGUUGCGCUCGGUAAAUCAACCAAUGCGCUCGAGAUCCUCAAAGAUGCUGGCGACGAGCCGGUCCAUGCGUCCGACACCGGCUUGAGUGAAUUUUUUGUGCGCUAUUGGCCCACAUAGACCAAAAGCAAGGAUACUUGAAGCCGAAACAGCCGGAAUUUCGUAUAUAAAUUGUACAGCGAUUCACUCAAAAGGUAAGCUGUAUAUUUACACUGCCAGCAGCACUCUCUUUAACUGUUCUCGUUUUGUGUUUUUCAGAUAGCCAAAACUGUCUUCCUUAUCAAAGGAUUGUAGGAUGAGGAUUGUACGUGAUUAUUGCAGCGCUCCAAAACAUGCCAAAUCCCAAGAUGUACACCCAAUACAGUAUCUCAACAUUGAGCUAACUAUGUAGGUAUGUAUGUAUACGCUAGUAUAUGGUAUAUGUACAUACUUACAUACCUGUAUUAUUUUAGUGAACAUAUUGUUCAUGACAACACGCAGAUGUCCCAGGGAGCCCGGUUCUGGAAUCUCACCCCAUCUCAUCUCAUCUAAACAUCUAAACACAUCCUUAAAAUGUCAUUAUCCUUAUUGUCCUUGAAUUCAAAGGAUUGCAUCCAAUCCGGGACAUUGUCCCGAUCACGAGAAGGCGUGGCAUGUCCUGAUCCGACAGGAUACGGCCGAAUUAUAGGGAUCUAACGACUACAUAUGAAAAAAUCCUUGAAAUGGCAUUAUCCUUAAUGUCCUUGCAUCCCAAAGGAUUGCAUCCAAUCCGGGACAUUGUCCCGAUCACGAGAAGGCGUGGCAUGUCCUAAUCCUACAGGAUACAGCCGAGUUAUAGGGUUUAAGCGACUACAUUUAAAAACAUCCUUAAAAUUUCAUUAUCCUAAAUGUCCUUGCAUCCAAAGGGAUUGAAAACGAUCCAGUACAGUCUCCCGAUCACGAGGAGGCUUGCCAUGUCCUGAUAGGCCUUCAAAUAAAGGACAAAACAACAAAACAA